rnacentral:lncRNA from 1 species
AAUUGGCUUACGCUCGCCACAAGCUACUUCAAGAUCACAUCAAUACAACAACAUAUUCAAACACCAUGUAUAAGAGCAGGGUCCUACUAUAGACAAAAUCAAAAAUAAAAGAACGAUGUCCAUCCUUGCUAUCCCAGGCUGUCGACCUCGAACCCAUCCUAGAUCAAUGAAGUAGUAGUAGAAGAAGAAACUCCGAAUAGCACAAUCACCGCACUCACGUCAAAGUAUCACUUUACCUGUACC